UCCAGACUCCUACGGGAGGCAGCAGUGGGGGAUAUUGCACAAUGGGGGGAACCCUGAUGCAGCGACGCCGCGUGGGUGAAGGAGCGUUUCGGCGCGUAAAGCCCUCUCGGCAGGGAAGAAGGAGGACGGUACCUGACUAAGAAGCCCCGGCUAACUACGUGCCAGCAGCCGCGGUAAUACGUAGGGGGCAAGCGUUAUCCGGAUUUACUGGGUGUAAAGGGGGCGCAGACGGCAGCGCAAGCCAGGAGUGAAAGCCCGGGGCCCAACCCCGGGACUGCUCUUGGAACUGCGCGGCUGGAGUGCAGGAGGGGCAGGCGGAAUUCCUGGUGUAGCGGUGAAAUGCGUAGAUAUCAGGAGGAACACCGGUGGCGAAGGCGGCCUGCUGGACUGCGACUGACGUUGAGGCCCGAAAGCGUGGGGAGCAAACAGGAUUAGAUACCCCCGUAU
rnacentral:rRNA from 1 species